CUCUUCCUGUUUGUAGUUUCAAGGACUUCCUGCUUGCAACCUUAAGUUUAGUUCUCCGUCAAACAUUAUGGUGUUUGCCCUGAAGUAUUUUUUUUUAAAUACAUUUCUCUUUUCCUCUUUUCUUCUGUGUGUGCAAGGUCUUUGACCUGAAGGAUAAAUCGUGUUGUCUGACUCGAUCCUGACGACAGUUGGCAGAUUAGCGCCCCAGCAAGAGGUCAGAGGUCACAGAGCUCACAGUCAGCUCCCGUUUUAACAAAUCAGAGAGCGGGUCGAGCAGCAGCUGUCCUGUUUUCUAGAGAAGAAUAUUUUAAGGAUUGUUAAGGGGCCACAUCAAAUAAGGCCCACCAGCAGUGGUGAUGUUGACCUUUAUCUGUUAUCAAUCCAAGGAAUGUUUAUUUAUAAAGUCAUUCUCAUGUGGUCUGUUACAACAGAUACAUAAAAGAAGCUGUUAUGGCUAUGGUACACAUUUUAACCCAGACCAUCUGUUGAUCAUUGAGUUUAGUGGAAACAUUUGAGGUGCAAAAGAAGUAUUUAUAUUUGUACUGAGGAGAUUGUGACAUUGUUCUUUCUCUCCGGGCUCAAAAUACAAGCCUUUCCUGUUGAGUGAAGCGUCAGCUGCUGCGAGAGUGUGUGCACUUUCACCUGAAGGCCGCUUAUGCAAUUGAGGCCGUUGACUUUGAGGUGGUGCUUAUGGAACAGCAGCGUUCCCUUGUGUACUGCUGUACACAAAGCAGUGCUGUGCAUAUUAGCACUACUAUAUACAUUAUACCGAGCCAAGAUGGAAGAAAAUGCCAUGUAAACUUUUCCGAAAACGACAGACGCCAGACGGGGUUCUCAGGGUCACGAAAACAAGGAAGAAGGGUGAAAUCAGCAGUGAUGUAGUGAUGACAGGUGUGUCUUUAAUCUAUGUGAGAUUCUCUCUUUUACUGCUUAGUUCUCUUCUGCCUUCAGUUGUUUCUUCUUUCUCUCUUUCCUAUUUAUGUUUUACAGUAAUUACAGUGGAUAAUUAUAUUGCUUCACUGCAGGCAAUGACUGGAAGCUGGUGUUCUGUUAGCAUAACGAGUCUUUAAAUAAGGAAGUGUUUACAGUUGU
ensembl:lncRNA